GACGGGAGCACCACAACAGGUGGAGCCUGCGGUUUAAUCGGACCCAACGCCGGGAAACUCACCAGAUAAGACAGCUGAAUGAUAGUCGGGCUGAAGACUCUACUUGACUAGCUGAGAGGAGGUGCAUGGCCGUCGUCAGUUCGUACUGUGAAGCAUCCUGUUAAGUCAGGCAACGAGCGAGACCCACGCCAACAGUUGCCAGCUCGUCCUCCGGGAUGGUGGGGACACUGUUGGGACCGCCUCUGCUAAAGAGGAGGAAGGAAUGGGCAACGGUAGGUCAGCAUGCCCCGAAUUAUCUGGGCUACACGCGGGCUACAAUGGGUGGGACAAUGGGUAUCGACACCGAAAGGUGAAGGCAAUCUCCUAAACCCAUCCGUAGUUCGGAUUGUGGGCUGCAACUCGCCCACAUGAAGCUGGAAUCUGUAGUAAUCGUGUCUCAAAAUGGCACGGUGAAUAUGUCCCUGCUCCUU
rnacentral:rRNA from 1 species